rnacentral:rRNA from 1 species
UACAGAGGGUGCAAGCGUUAAUCGGAAUUACUGGGCGUAAAGGGCUCGUAGGCGGCCAACUAAGUCGGAUGUGAAAUCCCCAGGCUUAACCUGGGAACUGCAUCCGAUACUGGAUGGCUUGAAUCCGGGAGAGGGAUGCAGAAUUCCAGGUGUAGCGGUGAAAUGCGCAGAUAUCAGGAGGAACACCGGUGGCGAAGGCGGAUCUCUGGGCCGAUGACUGACGCUGAGGAGCGAAGACGUGGGGAGCGAACAGG